AUUGAACGCUGGCGGUAUGCUUUACACAUGCAAGUCGAACGCGUGGCGCACGGGUGAGUAAUACAUCGGAACGUGUCCUAUCGUGGGGGAGAACUGAACGAAAGAUCAGCUAAUACACCAUACGAUUGGAGAGGCGCAUGGCCGAUUGGCGAGUUGGGGGGGUAAAGGCUCACCACGGCGACGAUCGGUAGCUGGUCUGAGAGGACGACCAGCCACACUGGGACGGAGACACGGUCCAGACUCCUACGGGAGGCAGCAGUGGGGAAUUUUGGACAAUGGGCGCAAGCCUGAUCCAGCCAUGCCGCGUGCAUGAUGAAGGCCUUCGGAUUGUAAAGUGCUUUUAGCGGGGAAGCGGUACCUGAAGAAUAAGCACCGGCUAACUACGUGCCAGCAGCCGCGGUAAUUC
rnacentral:rRNA from 1 species